rnacentral:rRNA from 1 species
CAGCCGCCGCGGUAAUACGUAGGGUGCGAGCGUUAAUCGGAAUUACUGGGCGUAAAGCGUGCGCAGGCGGUUAUAUAAGACAGAUGUGAAAUCCCCGGGCUCAACCUGGGACCUGCAUUUGUGACUGUAUAGCUAGAGUACGGUAGAGGGGGAUGGAAUUCCGCGUGUAGCAGUGAAAUGCGUAGAUAUGCGGAGGAAUACCGAUGGCGAAGGCAGCCCCCUGGGCCAAUACUGACGCUCAUGCACGAAAGCGUGGGGAGCAAACAGGAUUAGAUACCCCCGUAGUCCCUGUCUCUUAUAC